rnacentral:misc_RNA from 1 species
UCAGUUUAAUCGGAUUUUCGUGUCCCCAUCGUCUAGAGGCCUAGGACACUGCCCUUUCACGGCUGUAACAGGGGUUCGAAUCCCCUUGGGGACGCCAAUCCGAUAAUGAGUGAAAGACAUUAUCACCGGUUAGUCAUAACCGAAAAAAUCUUAAAGAUGACUCUUGCGAGUCGUGUUUAAGAUAUUGCUCUUUAACAAUCUGGAACAAGCUGAAAAUUGAAACAUGACAGCUGAAACUUACUCCUCCGUAGAAGUACUGGAGUAAGGAGUACCCUGUCAUAGAGUCUCUCAAAUGUAGCAGCACGAAAGUGGAA